UUGCAAUAACUUGAAUGUUGCGUUUGC
rnacentral:sRNA from 1 species